rnacentral:rRNA from 1 species
CCUACGGGAGGCAGCAGUGAGGAAUAUUGGUCAAUGGGCGGAAGCCUGAACCAGCAAAGUAGCGUGCAGGAUGACGGCCCUACGGGUUGUAAACUGCUUUUAUACGGGAAUAACGCGCCUUACGUGUAGGGCUUUGCAUGUACCGUAUGAAUAAGGACCGGCUAAUUACGUGCCAGCAGCCUCGGUAAUACGGCUGGUCCGGGCGUUAUCCGGGUUGAGUGGGUUGAAGGGGAGCGUAGACCGCGUGUCAAGCGUGCUGUGAAAUGUCCGGGCUCAACCCGGGCCUUGCAGCGCGAACGGGCGUGCUUGAGUCCGCGGAAAGCAGGCGGAAUUCGUCGUGUAGCGGUGAAAUGCUUAGAUAUGACGAAGAACCCCGAUUGCGAAGGCAGCUUGCUGCAGCGGAACUGACGCUGAUGCUCGAAAGCGCGGGUAUCGAACAGGAUUAGAUACCCCAGUAGUC